ACGUUGCUAGCUUAAUCGGAUAGAGCUUUAGACUACGGAUUUAAAGGUUACGGGUUCAAGUCCUGUGCAACGUG
rnacentral:tRNA from 1 species